UUUCUCGAGAGAGAAAGAGAGAGAGAGAGAGAGAGAGAGACAGAGAGAGAGAGAGGGAGAGAAAGGCCGAUCUAUGUGGCAAUGUCGAUCUCAUAAAUCGAUCUCGAAUACGCAUUUUCCAUUUUAUCACCGCUAUUUUAUAUGUUUUUUUUAUUUAAUAGAUCAUUUAUCGUUUAAAAGUAUCGAUCAUUUUCUAGCAUCUUUUUCACUUUUUUAAAAUAAGAAAGACUGCCACGUUUAAGUUCGUUCGUUUCAAAUAAUA